rnacentral:lncRNA from 1 species
AAAACUGAAGACCCACGUUCUCAAGUUAGGACAGACAGAACAGAGGUAGCUGAACUGAUCAGGCUUGAAAGGUCCUUUUCUUCAUUGGUAGAAGAGUUGACUAACAAAGGGAAUCUUCACAGCUUUCAAAGAGAUCUUCAGAGUUUGAUGAAGCUUGUAGACAGACAUGAAGUUCUGAAGACUUCAUCCUCUGAACGUUGUAACCUCUGAAGUCCAACAUCUUCUGAGCGCUUGUGAACUUCUGAAUUCACAUCCUCUGAACUUCACUCAGGACUUAUAUGAUGCUUAUAUCUGCGCACUUAAAAUAAAUUUUUAGUCCAUUCAAUUGUUAAUUAAUACUUUGUUAUCAUCAAAACCUUUAUAGAUUUGGGGGCAAACAUUUUUAAAUCAAUUUUGUUCCAACAACAUGAUGGUUGGACAAAGUUGAAUUUGGGUUCUUAAAGGAGUUAGGGUUUGAAAUUGACAUCAUACAUGAUGUCAUCAAAGUAGGGUUGCAACUUCUAUCUUUUAUAGUAAGUAAAGAUGAGGUAGAGAGAAGAAAAGAAGAGAUCGAAGAAGAGAGAAAGAAAAGGUUUUGGGAAAGUUAGAGAGGAAGAACAACAAGAUUAACAAAGGAGAGGAACUCAAUGAUUGAUCAAGCUAAGCUAUCAUCAUUUCUCCAAUUCUAGAGGUAAGGGAAGUUUUGUUCAUGGGUAGAGGUUGGUUGAUGAAGGGAGAGAAUGAAAUUCAUUCUCAUCUCCCAAGAUCCUUCAUCCCUCUCAUUAGAUUUGAGUUUUGUGAUAAAACCCUUGGGUGUAGAUUGUUGUUUUUGUUGUUGUGAAUAAUCUUAUUGAUGGUUUAGAAUUCAUGUUUGAAUCCAUGUUAUCUUGUGUGUUGUUUUGAGAAAAAUGAGUUUUUAUAUGAUUUAAUGAAUUAAUGAUGAUGAAUCUUGAUGAUUUGGUGUUGANNNNNNNNNNNNNNNNNNNNNNNNNNNNNNNNNNNNNNNNNNGUUUGUUGAGGUUCAAAUAUCAUGAGUGUUGAUUAGUGAAGUCUUAGGACUAAUGGGAUUCAAAUUGGGUUUUUGGAAAAUCAAAGAUUGAAUUUUUAUAGUUUAAGAAA